GCCGAGGUGGCGGAAUGGCAGACGCCGCGGACUUAAAAUCUGCUGUCCACAAGGGCGUGUGGGUUCGAGUCCCACCCUCGGCACCA
rnacentral:tRNA from 1 species